GACGAACGCUGGCGCCGUGCCUAAUACAUGCAAGUCGAGCGAGCUUGCCUAGAUGAUUUUAGUGCUUGCACUAAAUGAAACUAGAUACAAGCGAGCGGCGGACGGGUGAGUAACACGUGGGUAACCUGCCCAAGAGACUGGGAUAACACCUGGAAACAGAUGCUAAUACCGGAUAACAACACUAGACGCAUGUCUAGAGUUUGAAAGAUGGUUCUGCUAUCACUCUUGGAUGGACCUGCGGUGCAUUAGCUAGUUGGUAAGGUAACGGCUUACCAAGGCAAUGAUGCAUAGCCGAGUUGAGAGACUGAUCGGCCACAUUGGGACUGAGACACGGCCCAAACUCCUACGGGAGGCAGCAGUAGGGAAUCUUCCACAAUGGACGAAAGUCUGAUGGAGCAACGCCGCGUGAGUGAAGAAGGGUUUCGGCUCGUAAAGCUCUGUUGGUAGUGAAGAAAGAUAGAGGUAGUAACUGGCCUUUAUUUGACGGUAAUUACUUAGAAAGUCACGGCUAACUACGUGCCAGCAGCCGCGGUAAUACGUAGGUGGCAAGCGUUGUCCGGAUUUAUUGGGCGUAAAGCGAGUGCAGGCGGUUCAAUAAGUCUGAUGUGAAAGCCUUCGGCUCAACCGGAGAAUUGCAUCAGAAACUGUUGAACUUGAGUGCAGAAGAGGAGAGUGGAACUCCAUGUGUAGCGGUGGAAUGCGUAGAUAUAUGGAAGAACACCAGUGGCGAAAGCGGCUCUCUGGUCUGCAACUGACGCUGAGGCUCGAAAGCAUGGGUAGCGAACAGG
rnacentral:rRNA from 1 species